rnacentral:rRNA from 1 species
UACGGAAGGCAGCAGUGGGGAAUAUUGCACAAUGGGCGCAAGCCUGAUGCAGCCAUGCCGCGUGUAUGAAGAAGGCCUUCGGGUUGUAAAGUACUUUCAGUCGUGAGGAAGGUGUUAAGGUUAAUAACCUUAGCAAUUGACGUUAGCGACAGAAGAAGCACCGGCUAACUCCGUGCCAGCAGCCGCGGUAAUACGGAGGGUGCGAGCGUUAAUCGGAAUUACUGGGCGUAAAGAGCACGCAGGCGGUUAAUUAAGUUGGAUGUGAAAUCCCCGGGCUUAACCUGGGAAUGGCAUUCAAGACUGGUUAGCUAGAGUCUUGUAGAGGGGGUAGAAUUCCAUGUGUAGCGGUGAAAUGCGUAGAGAUGUGGAGGGAUACCGGUGGCGAAGGCGGCCCCUGGACAAAGACUGACGCUCAUGUGCGAAAGCGUGGGGAGCAAACAGGAUUAGAUACC